AAAUAGUAAAAAUUGAGGGGUGGCAUGGGGCCAAACCGGCAAGCUGGUUAUGCCCGGUUGACCGGGGACAGGAGGGUCACCACCAACUCACUAACAAAAAUUUACAAUGGGGCAUGGCUCGUGGGCCACACUGUCUCUUAACCCACCCGUGUGUUGGCUAAACGACGCCGUGCUUACUCUGCCUCUGCUGCUGCUGCUGUUCAUCUCUGACUCAACUUGGAUCCUUAUCUCGGAUUUAUCCGGCAGCAGGUAAAACCGAAACUGAAAACAGUACUUUUGUUUUUCUUUUUAUAUUUUUGUUUGCGUUUGUGUUCCCACCUGGUUCCCAUUUUCCACGAGUUUGCCAAAGAUAUGCUGUAUUGGAAUUUUUUAUGUCCCAAAAAAGGAGGAGCUCUUUUGGUGAAGGGGAAAAAACGAAGGUAAAAAUUGGAAUAGUGGCACAGUGGAUGUGUUGGUUGAGGAAGGACUGCGGUUGUCAAAACAUUGGUGUUGGUGGCCCUCUUAAGAAAAGAUAAGAGUCCCAUGAAGGUAAUAAAAGUAGUAGGGAAGAAACUCUGGUGAUCCCUUACUCAUUUAGUUUGUGACUUAUUUAAGAGAAUUGCCUAGAGCUUGCUACAUGUGAAUGUUUUUUUAAAUUGAUUUUGCUAAAAUGACGUUGUUUUGAACUAUUGUCUUUAAAUCCUUUAAAUUAUAGAGAUUGUAAUGGAAGAUAUAUAAAGCAAGACAAACUGUAGCAUUGGUGUAAAGCAGUUGAUGUUAUACUCUCUCAUUAUCUCAUGCGAACUUUUUGUUUAAAUGAAUUUGCUAAAAUGACGUUUAUUUGAGCUAAGUCUUUAAAUCUUUUUAUUUAUAGAGGUUGUAAUGGGAAGAUAUAUAAAGCAAAAA
rnacentral:lncRNA from 1 species